rnacentral:rRNA from 1 species
GACGAACGCUGGCGGCGUGCUUAACACAUGCAAGUCGAGCGGUAAGGCCCUUUCGGGGGUACACGAGCGGCGAACGGGUGAGUAACACGUGGGUGACCUGCCCUCAGCUCUGGGAUAAGCCUGGGAAACUGGGUCUAAUACUGGAUAUGACUCCACGGUGCAUGUCGUGGGGUGAAAGCCUUGUGCGGCUGAGGAUGGGCCCGCGGCCUAUCAGCUUGUUGGUGGGGUGAGGCCUACCAAGGCGACGACGGGUAGCCGGCCUGAGAGGGCGACCGGCCACACUGGGACUGAGACACGGCCCAGACUCCUACGGGAGGCAGCAGUGGGGAAUCUUGCGCAAUGGGCGAAAGCCUGACGCAGCGACGCCGCGUGAGGGAUGACGGCCU